UAAAGUUAAGGGCAAACCUGUCUAAAGGCAGGGACGCAAAGCCGAGGGUCUAAAGCGUUUGCCGCGCUAUGACAGCCUGGCUGCCGAU
rnacentral:ncRNA from 1 species